GCCGCGUGUGUGACGAAGGCCUUAGGGUUGUAAAGCACUUUCGCCCGCGAGGAUGAUGACGGUAGCGGGAGAAGAAGCCCCGGCUAACUCCGUGCCAGCAGCCGCGGUAAUACGGAGGGGGCGAGCGUUGUUCGGAAUUACUGGGCGUAAAGGGCGUGUAGGCGGCCUUGUCAGUCAGGCGUGAAAUCCCCGGGCUCAACCUGGGACGUGCGCUUGAUACUGCAGGGCUUGAGAGCGAGAGAGGUAAGCGGAAUUCCCAGUGUAGAGGUGAAAUUCGUAGAUAUUGGGAAGAACACCGGUGGCGAAAGCGGCUUACUGGCUCGUUUCUGACGCUGAGGCGCGAAAGCGUGGGGAGCGAACAGGAUUAGAUACCCUGGUAGUCCACGCCGUAAACGAUGUGUGCCAGACGUCGGGGG
rnacentral:rRNA from 1 species